GCACGGGCAGGGCUUUCCACCAUGGUUCCCUCCACGCCGACGCAAAGUAAGAAGGGAGUAGAAGGCCUGCCAAAGGAGAAUGAGAAUGAAGCUAUGCUGCUUGAAAAAAGAAAGAAUCUGCAGUCCUAACAAAGAACCUGAAACAACAAUCUGG